UACAGAGGUCUCAAGCGUUGUUCGGAUUUACUGGGCGUAAAGGGCGCGUAGGCGGUCAGCACAAGUCGGUUGUGAAAUCUCCGGGCUUAACUCGGAAAGGUCAACUGAUACUGUGCGACUAGAGUGCAGAAGGGGCAACUGGAAUUCUCGGUGUAGCGGUGAAAUGCGUAGAUAUCGCUUGGAACGCCAACGGUGAAAACAGGUUGCUGGGGGUGUGCUGACGCUGAGACACGAAAGCCAGGGGAGCGAACGGG
rnacentral:rRNA from 1 species